rnacentral:rRNA from 1 species
AAUGCAGUGCCCGAACAGGGCGUUGUAAUUGGAAUGAGAACAAUUUAAAUCCCUUAUCGAUUAACAAUUAGAGGGCAAGUCUGGUGCCAGCAGCCGCGGUAAUUCCAGCUCUAAUAGCGUAUAUUAAAGUUGUUGCAGUUAAAAAGCUCGUAGUUGGAUUUCGGCGUGCGCUCAGGCUGGUCGGCCGUCAAGGUCUGUACCGUUUGGGUCACGCCCCACUGUAGGAUACUCACCGCUGUCCUUAACUGGGUGGCGGUCAAAGGGGGUGUGCAUGGGGGCAACUCUGUGCAUAUCUCUGGGGUUCCUACUCUUUUACUUUGAGCAAAUUUGAGUGUUCAAAGCAGGCAAUCGAGCCUUGAAUACUUCAGCAUGGGAUAAUGGAACAGGACUGGGGUCCUGAUUUCGUUGGUUUCUGGGAUCUCAGUAAUGAUUAAUAGGGAUAGUUGGGGGCAUUAGUAUUUAAUUGUCAGAGGUGAAAUUCUUGGAUUUAUGAAAGACUAACUUCUGCGAAAGCAUUUGCCAAGGAUGUUUUCAUUAAUCAAGAACGAAAGUUAGGGGAUCGAAGACGACCAGAUACCGUCGUAGUCUUAACCAUAAACGAUGCCGACCAGCGAUUGGGAGACGUUACAUGGAUGACUCCCCCAGCAGCUUGCGAGAAAUCACAAGUCUUUGGGUUCCGGGGGGAGUAUGGUCGCAAGGCUGAAACUUAAAGGAAUUGACGGAAGGGCACCACCAGGAGUGGAGCCUGCGGCUUAAUUUGACCCAACACGGGGAAACUUACCAGGUCCAGACAUAGUAAGGAUUGACAGAUUUGAGAGCUCUUUCUUGAUUCUAUGGGUGGUGGCGCAUGGCCGUUCUUAGUUGGUGGAGUGAUUUGUCUGGUUAAUUCCGUUAACGAACGAGACCUUAACCUGCUAAAUAUGUCACUGGUAGACUUCUGCCAAAACAGGUGGGUGUCUAGGGGAAAGUUUCGAUGGACUCCGACGCAUUCAUCUGUGGAUGACUACCAGGAUGUACUUCUUAGAGGGACUAUCUGUAUCAAAGCAGAUGGAAGUUUGAGGCAAUAACAGGUCUGUGAUGCCCUUAGAUGUUCUGGGCCGCACGCGCGCUACACUGACAAGUUCAACGAGUUUAACACCUUGCUCGAUAGGGCUGGGUAAUCUUUGAAAAACUUGUCGUGAUGGGGAUAGAUCAUUGUAAUUAUUGGUCUUCAACGAGGAAUUCCUAGUAAGCGUGAGUCAUCAGCUCGCGUUGAUUACGUCCCUGCCCUUUGUACACACCGCCCGUCGCUCCUACCGAUUGAAUGAUCCGGUGAAAUGUUGGGAGCUGGGGUCUUUUGGCGGCGGGGCAACUCGUCGUCAGGGAUUCUGCAAACUUCAUUAAACCUUAUCAUUUAGA